GGUGACUGCGUACCUUUUGUAUAAUGGGUCAGCGACUUACGUUAUGUAGCAAGGUUAACCGUAUAGGGGAGCCGUAGGGAAACCGAGUCUUAACUGGGCGAAUGAGUUGCAUGACGUAGACCCGAAACCGAGUGAUCUAGCCAUGGGCAGGUUGAAGAUUGAGUAACAUCAAUUGGAGGACCGAACCGACUAAUGUUGAAAAAUUAGCGGAUGACUUGUGGCUAGGGGUGAAAGGCCAAUCAAACUCGGAGAUAGCUGGUUCUCCCCGAAAGCUAUUUAGGUAGCGCCUCGGACGAAUACUACUGGGGGUAGAGCACUGUUAAGGCUAGGGGGUCAUCCCGACUUACCAACCCUUUGCAAACUCCGAAUACCAGUAAGUACUAUCCGGGAGACACACGGCGGGUGCUAACGUCCGUCGUGGAGAGGGAAACAACCCAGACCGCCAGCUAAGGUCCCAAAGUUAUCGCUAAGUGGGAAACGAUGUGGGAAGGCUCAGACAGCCAGGAUGUUGGCUUAGAAGCAGCCAUCAUUUAAAGAAAGCGUAAUAGCUCACUGGUCGAGUCGGCCUGCGCGGAAGAUGUAACGGGGCUAAGCGAUACACCGAAGCUGCGGCAGUGCGAUUUAUCGUAUUGGGUAGGGGAGCGUUCUGUAAGCCGUUGAAGGUGGUCUGUAAGGGCUGCUGGAGGUAUCAGAAGUGCGAAUGCUGACAUGAGUAACGACAAAGGGGGUGAAAAACCUCCUCGCCGGAAGACCAAGGGUUCCUGUCCAACGUUAAUCGGGGCAGGGUAAGUCGGCCCCUAAGGCGAGGCCGAAAGGCGUAGUCGAUGGGAAACGGGUUAAUAUUCCCGUACUGCUGAUAACUGCGAUGGGGGGACGGAGAAGGCUAGGUGGGCCUCGCGACGGUUGUCGAGGUUCAAGUGCGUAGGUGGGUGUCUUAGGCAAAUCCGGGACGCUAUACACUGAGACACGAUGUCGAGCUACUACGGUAGUGAAGUCAUUGAUGCCAUGCUUCCGGGAAAAGCCUCUAAGCUUCAGGUUAUCAGGAACCGUACCCCAAACCGACACAGGUGGUCGGGUAGAGAAUACCAAGGCGCUUGAGAGAACUCGGGUGAAGGAACUAGGCAAAAUGGUACCGUAACUUCGGGAGAAGGUACGCUGCCCGCGGUGAAGUCCCUUGCGGAUGGAGCUAUGGGCAGUCGCAGAUACCAGGUGGCUGCAACUGUUUAUUAAAAACAUAGCACUGUGCAAAAUCGAAAGAUGACGUAUACGGUGUGACGCCUGCCCGGUGCCGGAAGGUUAAUUGAUGGGGUUAGACUUCGGUCGAAGCUCUUGAUCGAAGCCCCGGUAAACGGCGGCCGUAACUAUAACGGUCCUAAGGUAGCGAAAUUCCUUGUCGGGUAAGUUCCGACCUGCACGAAUGGCGUAAUGAUGGCCACGCUGUCUCCACCCGAGACUCAGUGAAAUUGAAAUCGCAGUGAAGAUGCUGUGUACCCGCGGCUAGACGGAAAGACCCCGUGAACCUUUACUACAGCUUGGCACUGAACAUUGAGCCUACAUGUGUAGGAUAGGUGGGAGGCUUUGAAACACAGACGCCAGUUUGUGUGGAGCCGACCUUGAAAUACCACCCUUGUAUGUUUGAUGUUCUAACUUAGGCCCCUAAUCGGGGUUGAGGACAGUGCCUGGUGGGUAGUUUGACUGGGGCGGUCUCCUCCCAAAGAGUAACGGAGGAGCACGAAGGUGGGCUAAUCACGGUCGGACAUCGUGAGGUUAGUGCAAUGGCAUAAGCCCGCUUGACUGCGAGAAUGACGGUUCGAGCAGGUGCGAAAGCAGGUCAUAGUGAUCCGGUGGUUCUGAAUGGAAGGGCCAUCGCUCAACGGAUAAAAGGUACUCCGGGGAUAACAGGCUGAUACCGCCCAAGAGUUCAUAUCGACGGCGGUGUUUGGCACCUCGAUGUCGGCUCAUCACAUCCUGGGGCUGAAGUCGGUCCCAAGGGUAUGGCUGUUCGCCAUUUAAAGUGGUACGCGAGCUGGGUUUAGAACGUCGUGAGACAGUUCGGUCCCUAUCUGCCGUGGGCGUUGGAUGAUUGAGAGGGGCUGCUCCUAGUACGAGAGGACCGGAGUGGACGAACCUCUGGUGUUCGGGUUGUCACGCCAGUGGCAUUGCCCGGUAGCUAAGUUCGGAAUCGAUAACCGCUGAAAGCAUCUAAGCGGGAAGCGAGCCUCAAGAUGAGUCAUCCCUAGGGCUUUA
rnacentral:rRNA from 1 species